rnacentral:tRNA from 1 species
AUUCACAUAGUUUAAUAAAAACAUUACUUUUUCGUAGUAAAGUUAGAAUGAUUUCUUAUGAAUU